rnacentral:rRNA from 1 species
CCUACGGGAGGCAGCAGUGGGGAAUAUUGGACAAUGGGGGGAACCCUGAUCCAGCCAUGCCGCGUGUGUGAAGAAGGCCCUCGGGUUGUAAAGCACUUUCAGUGAGGAAGAACGCCUGGUGGUUAAUACCCAUCAGGAAAGACAUCACUCACAGAAGAAGCACCGGCUAACUCCGUGCCAGCAGCCGCGGUAAUACGGAGGGUGCGAGCGUUAAUCGGAAUUAGUGGGCGUAAAGCGCGCGUAGGUGGCUUGAUAAGCCGGUUGUGAAAGCCCCGGGCUCAACCUGGGAACGGCAUCCGGAACUGUCAAGCUAGAGUGCAGGAGAGGAAGGUAGAAUUCCCGGUGUAGCGGUGAAAUGCGUAGAGAUCGGGAGGAAUACCAGUGGCGAAGGCGGCCUUCUGGACUGACACUGACACUGAGGUGCGAAAGCGUGGGUAGCAAACAGGAUUAGAUACCCUAGUAGUC